GGGGAUGUGGCUCAAGCGGUAACGCGCUCGCCUAGCAUGCGUGCGGCCCGGGUUCGAUCCCCAGCAGCACCA
rfam:Ictidomys tridecemlineatus contig079304, whole genome shotgun sequence.